AACUUGUCGGUGAUGUGUUCUUUUCCGUGUAUAUGUUGGAUAACCUUAAUGUUUCUCAUCAACUUACAGGAUGAAACGUGAAAGGGUCGUGGCCGUCGUGCAACCAAAAAUCAACUAUUGUGUUCAAAAUCUUUUAUAUUCUACUGAAUGUGACAUCAAAAUGAUACAGGAGUCAUAGUUGAAUUGGACUUGCUAGAUCACCAAAAGCCCAGCAUAUAAAAAUCUCUGAUUUCAUCUUCUUGAGAGAAGAUUGGAUAACUGAUUGGUGGUUUCAUGUGUAAGUUCACUUCUCAUGUCACUGAACUUUUUCUGUUGCAGUCUAAUAUGUAUUGUAAGUUCUAAACUCCAGGUUUCUAAAUUUGCAUAUGAGAAGUCAUGUCCUUUCAAGAAAGUCAACAAGUUCCCUUGUUUACUAACCUGUUGGCUGCUACCCUUGAAUCUCCCUUUUUACUUUCUUAAGCGGGCCAUCUUUAUUUAAGGGUAAUCCUUCGCUACUUGUCAUGGCCUUCAUCCACAGGUGAAAAACCGACGAGACAAUGCUGCAAUUCAAGACUGAUAAAUUGUUUAAUCGUUAGAUUCAAUUACAAGUGCAUAUCUGGGCUCCCUUCUUUUCUGUGGCCCCGUUUCCCUAACUAACCACUAA